UACAGAGGGGGCAAGCGUUGUUCGGAAUACUGGGCGUAAAGGGCGCGUAGGCGGCCGCCUAAGUCAGACGUGAAAUCCCUCGGCUCAACCGGGGAACUGCGUCUGAUACUGGGUGGCUUGAAUCCGGGAGAGGGAUGGUGGAAUUCCAGGUGUAGCGGUGAAAUGCGUAGAUAUCUGGAGGACACCGGUGGCGAAGGCGGCAUCCUGGACCGGUAUUGACGCUGAGGCGCGAAAGCCAGGGGAGCAAAGCGGG
rnacentral:rRNA from 1 species